GACGAACGCUGGCGGCGUGCCUAAUACAUGCAAGUCGAGCGAGCGGAACCAACAGAUUUACUUCGGUAAUGACGUUGGGAAAGCGAGCGGCGGAUGGGUGAGUAACACGUGGGGAACCUGCCCCUAAGUCUGGGAUACCAUUUGGAAACAGGUGCUAAUACCGGAUAAGAAAGCAGAUCGCAUGAUCAGCUUUUAAAAGGCGGCGUAAGCUGUCGCUAAGGGAUGGCCCCGCGGUGCAUUAGCUAGUUGGUAAGGUAACGGCUUACCAAGGCAACGAUGCAUAGCCGACUUGAGAGACUGAUCGGCCACAUUGGGACUGAGACACGGCCCAAACUCCUACGGGAGGCAGCAGUAGGGAAUCUUCCACAAUGGACGCAAGUCUGAUGGAGCAACGCCGCGUGAGUGAAGAAGGUUUUCGGAUCGUAAAGCUCUGUUGUUGGUGAAGAAGGAUAGAGGUAGUAACUGGCCUUUAUUUGACGGUAAUCAACCAGAAAGUCACGGCUAACUACGUG
rnacentral:rRNA from 1 species